GACUCCUUAGCUCAGCAGGUAGAGCAUUUGAUUUUUAAUCAAAGGGCCACAGGUUCGAAUCCUGUAGGAGUCA
rnacentral:tRNA from 1 species